GGUGUGGCUCAGUGACAGAGCACUUGCCUGCCAUGCACAGGGCCCUGGGUUUAAUCCCCAGCACC
rnacentral:tRNA from 1 species